UACAGAGGGUGCAAGCGUUAAUCGGAAUUACUGGGCGUAAAGCGUGCGUAGACGGUUAUGUAAGUCGGGUGUGAAAGCCCCGGGCUCAACCUGGGAAUUGCAUUCGAGACUGUGUAGCUAGGGUACGGAAGAGGGAAGCGGAAUUUCAGGUGUAGCGGUGAAAUGCGUAGAUAUCUGAAGGAACACCAGUGGCGAAAGCGGCUUCCUGGUCCAGUACCGACGUCAGGCACGAAAGCGUGGGGAGCAAACAGG
rnacentral:rRNA from 1 species